GGACGAAUCAAGCGUAACAACUCAGAUCCAAUUCUCCAAAUUGCCCUCUUGGAUCACGCUAUAUAAGAGGCAAUCAUUGCCAAUCAUUGGGUUCAGAGAAGAUUUUUCCUCAAUCCACAAAGAAUCUUGCAAUCACUCCCAACCCCUAGCACACGCUCAUCUUCCAUUGUUGUGAGAGCUUCAUCACUCGAAGCUCUACACGGCAGAGCUAAACCACCACCGGAAGACUCAAAGUUCGACGGUCACCACCUCUCACACGCUUUGGAUACGGAAGGAACAUCUCGCCAUUAAGAGGAGAAGAAGAGAGGCACUCAGAAGUGGAUCGGAAGUAUACCUGUGAUCUUCGACAUCAUCGUCGCCAUCUCCGUCGUCAUCUUUGACAGGUAGCUCUCUUAAUCCAUUUGCUCACGCUCAUGAUUCGCUUGCCACAAGUGUUGUCUCUGAUCGUAGAGAUAGAAGCCAUAAUCGGAUUGUUGUAUUGUCACGGUAUUGCGUAGUUGUUUGAGAAGUUCACGUAGAGUCUCCGUAUGAGACCUGAGUGUUAAAUGUUGUUUUCCACAGAACGUGAAGGAGCAGCGAUGACCAUCGCUGGGAAGUGUUUUUUUUGAAUAAGCGCUUUUUUCUGCUUCCAAUGGAUGAGUUUAGGCAAUGGACUUGGUAGGGUCUAAGGCCCAAGGCACUU
rnacentral:lncRNA from 1 species